CAAAAAUCUGUUAAAAGAAACCGUAACAGGGUGGGUACCUAACAGAUUUGACCAUAGCGAGAAUCAAUCAGAGAAAGGGAAAAUUCAGAGACUGUCCUCUCAGUUUAAGCAUCAAUGUCACUCUUAAAUCAACUUUUCAACAGAGGCGUUUUUGGUGCUAAAUGGUUUAUUCAUCUGUCUCUCUUUCUCUGCUCUUUUCUAUUUUGCUUACAGUUUUAUUUCUUCACUUAUGCUGUUGAUGAUAAUUAUUUGAUUCGAGUCUUAAUUUCUUUCUUUCACUUUCGAAAUUACGAUUAGUCAACCUAUGCUGCGCAAUGUAACAAUCAAUUUUUGUGAAUUUGUGGGUUUAGUGUUGUAUGGGAAUUCUCUUUUUUAUGCGAUGAUGCCCAUAUAUAGAUUUUGUUUUAUGGUUUCCUCUCAACUCAAAUUUUAAUAGCAGAAUUAAUUUGAUCACGGAUUUUCAGCGAAUGUAUUUUUCGUUCACUUUUUCUGUGUAAUUGUGGUUGCUCUAGUCAAAUUAUCUUUGUUUUCGAGCUUUGAAAUUGAUUAACUGCAUUAUGGGUUCUUCUAUUUCUCCUGAAAUCUGAUAAACGGAUUUUGCAGCAAAACAUGCUUGACCUUGGCAAUCUCACGCAUCAAAUUGCUGCAAAAUAAAAGAGAUUUGCAGCUCAAACAGAUGCGCAAGGAAAUUGCGCAAUUUUUGCAGGCUGGCCAAGAAGCAAUAGCUCGAAUUCGGGUGGAGCAUGUGAUUAGAGAACAAAACAUAUGGGCUGCUUAUGAGAUAUUGGAGCUGUUCUGUGAGUUUGUUCUUGCACGUGUUCCAAUUCUUGAUAGUCAGAAGUAAGUAUAUGAACCACAAGGAUUUAUUUCUUUGUUGAAGAUAACCUUUGAGUUUUGAUACACUAUUGUCUUUCUUGACAACAGAAGCAGUUUAGAAUUUGUGCAUCACAGUUGUUCUAUACAGAUUUGCAGUUUAAUCUUAUGUUUUUCAAUAAUUUCCAUGAGAAAUGACCUAAAGGCAUUUUGGUCUUACAUUAUCGCCAACGCUGAUGAUACCUGUUGUUUUAUUAGAACUCUAAUAUGUAAAAUCCUCCCCAAUGCUUUUAAGAAAAUGUUUUUCCACAUAUUGGUGAAAGCAUUAAUGAGUUUUAAUGCAACAACAAUGAUGAAUUUAGUGAACUGGUCAUAUGAACAUUCCCCAAACCCUUUUCUUCUCCCUCUGCUUCAGAGAACCAAGUGAAUACAGAUGAAGUGGUGAGGCCUAGAAAGUUUAUUUGUCUGAUCAUAUACAAUCCUAUGUAAUGAUUGCAUUUAAAUAACAAUUUCGAUGAAGCUGUCACCUAUGAAGCCUCCAUGCGUUGAACAAAAUUUGUGGCUGUAACUGGAAGUUGCAUCAAGUUGCUUGCCUAGAAUUGCCUUGCUGAUGCCGACUAUAUGUUAAAUAUAGGAUCCAAAUUAGUUGAAUACCCUUUUUAAUUAAUUCAUUAAAGGACAAUCUUUUGGACUUCUUAUAAUGUACUGAUUUAGCUAGAUGCUAUGCGAGAUAUGUUGUGCUUAUAGCAGGGUGUAGUCUUCCAAUGCUUCUUUUGUCUGCAUUGGUUGAGGUUGAAUAUUUAUGAUUUUAAGCAACUAAAAUAUCUUAUUCCUUGAAAUAUUGGUUUGUGCACAGGAGAUUGAUAGACUAUGUUUCAUUAAUCAGAGUAUUUGUUUUGCUUUUUGGAUAAGUACCUGGUUACUGUCACUUCAGUACAAAAUGACUUUAAGUAAGUGAACUACGUCCAAGAUAUUUCUGGAUCUUCCAAUUAGAGAUAGAAGAGAGUUCUCCCUUCAUAUUUGGGAGUUAAAACUGUACCACAAAUUAAGCAUUUAGCUUUAUUCCUUAGUUUAGAAAAGACUAAAAAAAAUAUAAUCUUUCAUCACUUUUUUUUUGCGAUUCAGUUUUCAUUUCAUGGUUGUUUCCAGUUGGUUUGUAACUUUGUGUUUUUGGUGGUUGAUAUAUUGGUUUUAAUAAAAAAAUUAAAGCAUGACUACUUAUCUGAUUUCUAAAAUACAUAGUUGUUCACUUAUGCGUGUGCCUAUAGAUGUGCAUACAUGUGUGAAAUAUUGUUUUGGUCGUUGAUUUUCAAAUGUAGUCGAAACAAACUUGUACCUCUCUCUCUCUCUCUCUCU
rnacentral:misc_RNA from 1 species